UACGUAGCAUGCAAGCGUUGUCCGGAAUUAUUGGGCGUAAAGAGUUCGUAGGCGGUUGCCUAAGUCUGGUGUUAAAUACAGGAGCUCAACUCCUGCAUGGCACUGGAAACUGGGCGGCUAGAGUGUGGUAGAGGUCACGGGAAUUCCAGGUGUAGCGGUGAAAUGCGUAGAUAUCAGGAGGAACACCUGUGGCGAAAGCGGCGCACUGGACCACAACUGACGCUGAGGCGCGAAAGCUAGGGGAGCAAACAGG
rnacentral:rRNA from 1 species